UGGAUGGCGUUUGAUCUUAUACACUUUCCCAAGGGCAGAGAUACUCCGGUGAGCUUGGUGAUGUACCACGCAGACCCUGCUUCAAGGACUGCUUGCCCAGCUCUGGAGGUGCUGUUGAAGAUGGCCUUCAUCUGUCAGCUGCCCCCCACCCCAGUUCCUUCAGGAACUGCAGUGAGCUACUGGGCCAAAGUCAAAUCCUCCCCAGGGCUAUCUGCAUGCAACAGCUGACAAAGAGGGGAUGUAAAGGCUCAGCCGUAUGACCCAACAUGGGUUGGCUAGGUCACUGUCCCUCCAGAGCCCCCGUGGGAUUAGCCGAGGCUCCUGGUGAACCUGCAACACGGUUGACUUCUCUCUCUGCCCCAUGCCGUGUUCUUGCCCUCCCUUCCAUGGGUGUUGAUCCCAAACACCCUCUAGCAAGCGUCCAGCACCCUGAACUCAGAAUCUCCUUCCCAGAGGCACCAGUCAGCGAUGGAGAGCCAGCUUUUCUUUUUCCUUCCUUUUCCUUGUCAGCCAGGAUUACCCUGGUCUCCCUGCCCCCAGACCUGCAAAGCCUUUCUGGGCUCCGGAUGUCUUUGAUAAAGACUCUGGACUCUCUUCCCAGAAAAUGCACGUGAUUUCAUACGCCAAGCUUUACCUCCACUUUCAGAGGCUUUACAGACUCCGCGGAUCGGGCUGAAGACGCUCUCCUGGAGGGAGGAUCAUGGAUUUUGUCCAUAUGCUGAGGGCUGCGCCAAGCGCUGCAGGCAGCUCUGGUCUGGUCAUCCAGAGGAAACACGAGGGCUUUCAGACACCGGCACUGCUCCCUCAAAACCGACGGACCCUCGCUCACGGAUAAGAAAAUCGCGGAUUCGAAAGCUUCAGUAAUUGCACCAAGGUCACAGAGUUUGUAAGCGGCCAAGCCAGAACUUGAACCUGGAUGUGAGUUACUCUGUCCAUGCUCUCAGCUGCGCUGCAUCCUCGUGCUUCCUUGAAGGCUUCCUGAGCUCACCUUCCAGCCCAGGCACUCCUAUCCCACCUCGUCACCCUCCUCCUUUCCGACCUAGAAGGGAAUCCACAGAAUCUGGUGCUCAUCUCUCCGCCCUCAGAGAAGAAAGGGAAUUCUCUGUAUUCCCUUGUAUUGUAGAGUUCUUCGUUGGUCAGUAAUUAAGAAUCUCCUGUUUACCAGAAUCGUUUCUUGUUACGAAUUAGUAAAUUCAUACUAAUGUGAUACAUCAGUCUCUCAUGAAUCUGUUUCUGGUGAGUCAGUCCCCCUGGAAUCCAAGAACCACAGGGACGCCUAAUUGAUUCUCCAAACCUGCAAGACUACAGCCUAGACUUAGAGCCCGGUGCCCACACCGGUUCCCGCCAGCCUGCGGGGGGUGGGGGGCAGGAGGAGGGGGCCCCAGGCCCAUCAAACAGUGACAAGAAAGAGGCGCCCCGCCGCUCCUCUGUCUGUACGGGCUCUGUCUUCACCUCCAGAACCUGAGCAAGUUGCUGCCCUUCCCUGAGCAUUUCCUCGGCUGAAAACUGGACGCAGGGAUUCUCGCCCUCGUGACUUUGAAGUAAGUGAAAUGGAGAAAGAAACCCCGUGGCCAGCCACCCUCCCAGCCCUCCUCUGACUCAGGUUCCAUUGCUUUCCUCCCCACGAGCCUCCGCCCAGGCGCUCCUGUUCAGGUCACAGCACUUUGCUUCAUCCUGCUUUGCAAACGCUCCUGGUCCCUUGGCCAGAUGUGGAUGCCUCAUCCGGCCAGGGCAGCUCCUUGCCGUCCUAUAGAAUCACUGGGGGGAUUAGACCGGCCACCACCCAUGUGAUAGCUGAGGCCACUGAGGCCUAGAGCAGCGGCGGGU